CCUACGGGACGCAGCAGUGGGGAAUAUUGCACAAUGGGCGAAAGCCUGAUGCAGCAACGCCGCGUGAAGGAAGAAGGGUUUUGGCUCGUAAACUUCUAUCAACAGGGACGAAAGAAAUGACGGUACCUGAAUAAGAAGCCCCGGCUAACUACGUGCCAGCAGCCGCGGUAAUACGUAGGUGGCAAGCGUUGUCCGGAAUUACUGGGUGUAAAGGGAGCGCAGGCGGGAAGCCAAGUCAGCUGUGAAAACUACGGGCUUAACUUGUAGACUGCAGUUGAAACUGGUUUUCUUGAGUGAAGUAGAGG
rnacentral:rRNA from 1 species